rnacentral:rRNA from 1 species
UACGGGGGGAGCGAACGUUGUUCGGAAUCACUGGGCGUAAAGGGCGUGUAGGCGGCUGAAUAAGUGGGAUGUUAAAUCCCCCGGCUCAACCGGGGACCUGCAUCUCAUACUGUUCAGCUCGAGCACAUCAGAGGAGACUGGAAUUCCCGGUGUAGCGGUGAAAUGCGUAGAGAUGCGGAGGAACACCGAUGGCGAAGGCAGCCCCCUGGGCCGACACUGACGCUCAGGCACGAAAGCGUGGGGAGCAAACAGG